UUAAAAGUCCAUACCACGUUAGAUAACACCGGUUCUCGUCCGAUCACCGAAAGUUAAGCAACGUCGGGCGCGGUCUUUUUGU
rnacentral:rRNA from 1 species